rnacentral:rRNA from 1 species
AACGAACGCUGGCGGCAUGCCUAACACAUGCAAGUCGAACGAGACCUUCGGGUCUAGUGGCGCACGGGUGCGUAACGCGUGGGAACCUGCCCUUAGGUUCGGAAUAACUCCCCGAAAGGGGUGCUAAUACCGGAUAAUGUCUUCGGACCAAAGAUUUAUCGCCUUUGGAUGGGCCCGCGUUGGAUUAGCUAGUUGGUAGGGUAAAAGCCUACCAAGGCGACGAUCCAUAGCUGGUCUGAGAGGAUGAUCAGCCACACUGGGACUGAGACACGGCCCAGACCCCUAGGGGGGGAAGCAGGGGGGAAAUUUGGGAAAGGGGCGAAAGCCUGAACCAGCAAGGCCGGGGGGGUGAUGAAGGCCUUGGGUUUGAAAAGCUUUUUUCCCCGGGAUAAUAAUGAAAGAACCGGGAGAAUAAGCCCCGGCUAACCCCUU